UACGGAGGAUGCGAGCGUUAUCCGGAUUUAUUGGGUUUAAAGGGUGCGUAGGCGGACUGUCAAGUCAGCGGUAAAAUUGAGUGGCUCAACCUCUUCCCGCCGUUGAAACUGGUGGUCUUGAGUGGAUGAGAAGUACGCGGAAUGCGUGGUGUAGCGGUGAAAUGCAUAGAUAUCACGCAGAACUCCGAUUGCGAAGGCAGCGUACCGGCAUCCAACUGACGCUGAGGCACGAAAGCGUGGGGAUCAAACAGG
rnacentral:rRNA from 1 species